rnacentral:rRNA from 1 species
GACGUAGGGGGCGAGCGUUGUCCGGAUUCAUUGGGCGUAAAGCGCGCGCAGGCGGCCCGGUAAGUCGGAUGUGAAAUCCCACGGCUCAACCGUGGAACUGCAUUCGAUACUGUCGGGCUAGAGGCAGGUAGGGGAGAUCGGAAUUCCUGGUGUAGCGGUGAAAUGCGCAGAUAUCAGGAGGAACACCCGUGGCGAAGGCGGACUCUGGC